rnacentral:rRNA from 1 species
CAGUAGCCGCGGUAAAACGUAGGUGGCAAGCGUUGUCCGGAAUUAUUGGGCGUAAAGGGCUCGCAGGCGGUUUCUUAAGUCUGAUGUGGAAGCCCCCGGCUCAACCGGGGAGGGUCAUUGGAAACUGGGAAACUUGAGUGCAGAAGAGGAGAGUGGAAUUCCACGUGUAGCGGUGAAAUGCGUAGAGAUGUGGAGGAACACCAGUGGCGAAGGCGACUCUCUGGUCUGUAACUGACGCUGAGGAGCGAAAGCGUGGGGAGUGAACAGGAUUAGAUACCCCCGUAGUCCCUGUCUCUUAUAC